UGUCCAGUAGCACCAUAGAGACCAACUAAAUUUGUUCUUGGUAUGAGCUUUCAUGUGCAUGCACAAGAAAGCUCAUACCAAGAACAAACUUAGUUGGUCUCUAAGGUGCUACUGGACU